GUGGGGAAUCUUGGACAAUGGGCGAAAGCCUGAUCCAGCGACGCCGCGUGGGUGAUGAAGUUUUUCGGAACGUAAAGCCCUGUCGGGAGGGAAGAAAUGCCAUCGGUUAAUACCCGGUGGUCUUGACGGUACCUCCAAAGGAAGCACCGGCUAACUCCGUGCCAGCAGCCGCGGUAAUACGGGGGGUGCAAGCGUUGUUCGGAUUUAUUGGGCGUAAAGCGCGCGCAGGCGGCCAAGUAUGUCGGGUGUGAAAGCCCUCGGCUCAACCGAGGAAUGGCGCUCGAAACUGCAUGGCUUGAGUAUGGAAGAGGGAAGUGGAAUUCCCGGUGUAGAGGUGAAAUUCGUAGAUAUCGGGAGGAACACCAGUGGCGAAGGCGACUUCCUGGUCCAAUACUGACGCUGAGGCGCGAAAGCGUGGGGAGCAAACAGG
rnacentral:rRNA from 1 species